rnacentral:rRNA from 1 species
GAUGAACGCUGGCGGCGUGCCUAAUACAUGCAAGUCGAGCGAACAGAUGAGGAGCUUGCUCCUCUGACGUUAGCGGCGGACGGGUGAGUAACACGUGGAUAACCUACCUAUAAGACUGGGAUAACUUCGGGAAACCGGAGCUAAUACCGGAUAAUAUAUUGAACCGCAUGGUUCAAUAGUGAAAGACGGUUUUGCUGUCACUUAUAGAUGGAUCCGCGCCGCAUUAGCUAGUUGGUAAGGUAACGGCUUACCAAGGCAACGAUGCGUAGCCGACCUGAGAGGGUGAUCGGCCACACGAGAACUGGGACACGGUCCAGACUCCUACGGGAGGCAGCAGUAGGGAAUCUUCCGCAAUGGGCGAAAGCCUGACGGAGCAACGCCGCGUGAGUGAUGAAGGUCUUCGGAUCGUAAAACUCUGUUAUUAGGGAAGAACAAAUGUGUAAGUAACUAUGCACGUCUUGACGGUACCUAAUCAGAAAGCCACGGCUAACUACGUG